rnacentral:lncRNA from 1 species
AUGAACACAUUCUCACUUGUGGAUGCGAUGGAAACUACAUACAAGCUGUUAAGAUGCCAGGACAUGCAGAGAGGAGAAAGGGAUGCAGAGUUCUGUUCCUGUGCUGUGAAGAACUGGACCGAAUUCAGUCUGCCACCACCGAGAGGGAAACUUAGACUAGAAGAACUUAAGGUUAAUUCCAUGUAUUUUAUGGGAUUAAAAUGUAAAUCCUUUGUGUCAAGGCCACAUCCUACUGUGCAGUGCACCAAGACAUACCACACAAGAACCUUUGGUGAUAUUCCUGUUUCUGUUCCCGGGUUAUUUCACUUAGCAUGAGAUUCCCCAGCUCCGUACAUGUUAUCACAGAUGUCAAAUCUCCUUUUGAUAGCUGAAAAAAUACUCUGCUAAACAUAUGUGCCACAUUUCCUUUCUUAAUCCAUCUCUUGUUGGGUGUUUAGAUUGUUUACAUAGUUUGGGUACUCAGAAUCAAUGUUACAGAGGACAUGGCAAUGUGGCUAUUUCUUGGGACUUCUACUUUCAAUUUCUUUAAAUACUUAGUCAAGCAAAGAGUUGCUGCUAACUGCAAAAAAAUAGAAAAAAACUAUUUUUUUUUAAAAAAUCAAGAAUAUGUGAGGAAGGUUUUGGAGGUGCUAGAGCUAUGGAUCUGUAGGCUUUUUUGCUUAUGUGUGUGGUGGACAAGAAGAGGUGGCCACUCUUCUGACUCCCUGUUUGCAUGAAGGGAAAGGCUGUUGGGCAAGGCCCCAUUAGCUCUGGGUUGAUUAUUGGGCAGUAGAGUCAGGACAGUGAACAGUGGGACUGAAUCAGGGAGGGUGCUGAGAGUCAGUAGUUAGAGGUUUCAAAAUGGAGAAAUCAGAAAUCAGUGCAGGUUCCCAACACAGGGGAGCUAGGGGACUGUAGGAGUCAAGAUGAGUGUGAGCAGCUGUAAGGGUGUUUUACUUACGGAUUCUAAAUCAGGACCUUCAGAGCGGGGCUCUUUCUGGCUCAGUGUAAUCUGCAGCAUUUUGUUGCAUCCGACCAAUUAUAGAACUUUGAAUCAGCUGUAGGAAAAACAAACAAACAAACAAACAAACAACCAGGAGAAUUAUGGAUUAAGAUCUGGGUUUUCUUUUUUCUUCUUGCAAACAACAGAGAAUCAAGAUUCACUAGCCCUGUCCUCCUGAUGGGCGCAGCAACCUCUGGGAACUGAGUGACAGAUAUUUCCUUUAUUGGAGCAGAAACUUUCAGUGUGUGCCACUUUCCCUGACGGCCCUUGUGUUUGGCAGAUCUGCCCAGCUUCUAACCCAGCUUGCCUGCCUGGAUCCAUCAGAAACGUGAG